CCCACUUCCGCUCCCGCCCCCCGCCGGGGCCUGCGCCAGCCGCCGCCGGAAACGUCACAGCUAGAGCCACGCCUUUCGGAGUGACGUCAUCCGUGCCCAGUAGGAGGCCAAGUAGGAGCGCCGAGGCUUCAAACCCCGUCUUUCCCCGCGUUCCGGGAGUGCGGUCCGUUCCCCUCUUAGCGGAGCACAAGCAGGAGGUGCAUCAGGCAGAGGGAGAAGCAGGCUCCCAGCUGAGCCAGGAGCCCAAUACCGAACUCAACUCCAGGACCCUGGGAUCAUGACCUGAGCCAAAGGCAGACCCUUAACCAACUGAGCCACCCAGGCACCCAAUCCCUCCUCCUCUUCAUGUCAAAAUGUUAAGGGUAGCUUUUAGAAAAGUCUAAUAAAAUCUGACAUGUACAGAUCUUGUA